GGUCGAUUAGUGUAGUUGGUUAUCACAUCGGAUUCUGAUUUUCAUCUGAAUCUUCCGGUAACCGGGGUUCGAAUCCCCGAUUGACCU